GACGAACGCUGGCGGCGUGCUUAACACAUGCAAGUCGAACGGAAAGGCCCUGCUUUUGUGGGGUUCUCGAGUGGCGAACGGGUGAGUAACACGUGAGUAACCUGCCCUUGACUUUGGUAUAACUUCACGAAACUGGGGCUAAUACCGGAUAGGAGCUCCUGCUGCAUGGUGGGGGUUGGAAAGUUUCGGCGGUUGGGGAUGGACUCGCGGCUUAUCAGCUUGUUGGUUGGGUAGUGGCUUACCCAGGCUUUGACGGGUAGCCGGCCUGAGAGGGUGACCGGCGUCAUUGGGACUGAGAUACGGACCAGAGUCCUACGGGGGGCAGCAGUCGGGAAUAUUGCACAAUGGGCGGAAGUCGGUUGCAGCAACGCCCCGUUCGUGAUGACGGCCUUUGGGUUGUAAACAGCUUUCGCCUGAGACGAAGCGUGAGUGACGGUAAUGGGUAAAGAAGCACCGGCUAACUACGUG
rnacentral:rRNA from 1 species